CCUACGGGAGGCAGCAGUAGGGAAUCUUCCACAAUGGGCGAAAGCCUGAUGGAGCAACGCCGCGUGAGUGAUGAAGGCCUUCGGGUUGUAAAACUCUGUCAUUCGGGACGAACCGGAGUCUGAGGAAAUGCAGACUCUCUGACGGUACCGGAGGAGGAAGCCCCGGCUAACUACGUGCCAGCAGCCGCGGUAAUACGUAGGGGGCAAGCGUUGUCCGGAUUCACUGGGCGUAAAGCGCGCGCAGGCGGUGAUGUAAGUCUGAGGUGAAAACCCGAAGCUCAACUUCGGGACUGCCUUGGAUACUGCGUCACUUGAGGAUAGGAGAGGCAAGGGGAAUUCCACGUGUAGCGGUGAAAUGCGUAGAGAUGUGGAGGAACACCUGUGGCGAAAGGCGCCUUGCUGGCCUAUUUCUGACGCUGAGGCGCGAAAGCGUGGGGAGCAAACAGGAUUAGAUACCCUGGUAGUCCACGCUGUAACCGAUGAGUGCUAGGUGUAGGUGGGCUCAUACCCAUCUGUGCCGAAGCUAACGCAUUAAAGCACUCCGCCGUUGGGUAGGUUACGGGUUCGGCGAAGACGUUAGAAACGUUACAAAUUAGAAGUUAGACGGCGUUGAGACGUUAGCCGAACGGACGACCGAACGAAGGGGAAGGUAAGGGAG
rnacentral:rRNA from 1 species